rnacentral:rRNA from 1 species
GAUGAACGCUGGCGGCGUGCCUAAUACAUGCAAGUCGAGCGAACAGACGAGGAGCUUGCUCCUCUGACGUUAGCGGCUGACGGGUGAGUAACACGUGGAUAACCUACCUAUAAGACUGGGAUAACUUCGGGAAACCGGAGCUAAUACCGGAUAAUAUAUUGAACCGCAUGGUUCAAUAGUUAAAGACGGUUUUGCUGUCACUUAUAGCUGGAUCCGCGCCGCAUUAGCUAGUUGGUAAGGUAACGGCUUACCAAGGCAACGAUGCGUAGCCGACCUGAGAGGGUGAUCGGCCACACUGGAACUGAGACACGGUCCAGACUCCUACGGGAGGCAGCAGUAGGGAAUCUUCCGCAAUGGGCGAAAGCCUGACGGAGCAACGCCGCGUGAGUGAUGAAGGUCUUCGGAUCGUAAAACUCUGUUAUUAGGGAAGAACAAAUGUGUAAGUAACUAUGCACGUCUUGACGGUACCUAAUCAGAAAGCCACGGCUAACUACGUG